GCCUUUCGCCUUGAUAACACUGGGGAUGAUAUGGGGUGCCUAAUACCUUCCCCACGCAUACACAGAUCCCGAGCUCAAAAUUUCUGUUUUUGAAGUGGCUAAAUUUUUUAAAAACAAUAAGUGGUUUUCCUUAAUUUCCCCUUAAAAUUAAAGUGGCGACUCUUCACUUCUCCACUUCGGUGAGAAUGGUCCGGUGACCGCAAAACCCUUGCGACACAAGGAAAAUGAGAUUUAGAUAGCUAAGCAUUGACAUUGUGAUGUGCAUCAUGGUGACAAAGGGGGCUGCCCUAUUUCAAGAUGCAUCUUACCAUUCCUAUCACUUGUUCAAGGGCCAAGUUUGUUACUUUGCUUACAUGGUUGGAAGACUAAUAGCUUGAAUGUUGAUAUUGGGCUUGCAUGAAUCUUAAUUGAAGUGUUAUUGCUGUUUCAGUUUGGCUCAAGCCCAUGUCCAGUUAGGGUUAAUUUUGGUAUCAUGAAAUUAAAGAUUAGUAACCUUAAAAUAAAGUGCAGCCACCUUUUUCCAUUUAUCUCUCUUAAUUUAGGCAGCUAGAAACUCUUUUGGGGUUGUUUUUGUUGACUUUUCUCUUCGUAAAUAGGUUAGGAGUCAACUUAGAAUCUUUGAUUGAUUUCCUACUUAGUGCCCAAGUUUACUUCCUAACUAUUUUCCUUAUUAUUUCUUAUUUAGUAUUACUUAUUUAUUCCUAUUUAGAGUUAGUUGAUGAUAAUAUAACAAAGUGCUGCCGAGCUGCUUUCAAUUUCUUAUCAAAACAAGUGUGUUCUGUGGAGAUCCAGAAACUUAUUACUCUUCUUCCUUUCUUUCUACGAGUGUGGUGUUUCACCCCUUUGUGUGUGUUUGUGGUGAGUCUUCUUAUCAAACAAACACAAAGGGCUUUCUCUUUAUCUUCUUUUACUGUGUUAAAACCAUUCUAAAAGCAACUUAAGCAACUUAAUCUUGUUCUAAGUUAAUUGACCCUACUUUAAGAUAGCCUGGCACAUCACAUGGUCUCAAAUUUUUUUCCCCUUAACAACUAAAGAUAACAAAAGUCAAGUACAAAAGUGUGGCAGCAAACUCCUU
rnacentral:misc_RNA from 1 species